GAGUUUUACUCUAUAACAAAGAGAACGACAAAAACCUUAUUAUUACCUGUGCAGUGAGCACUUAAAACUACUACUAUUGAGUGUUUAUUCUUUAUUUCUGCUUUAGUCUGUGUAUAAAAAAUGGUUAUAAAUAAAUGUUAUUGUCAGAGUCUGAGUCUGUGUGUGUUUGUUUGUGUGUGUGUGUGUUAUGUGUGUAUUGUGUACUUGUUUUUCUAACCAUUCAGUUUCUAGUUGGUGCUGGAGUUCUCAGGUGCGCUGGAUGACAGGUGUUUUCCAUCUGCUGAUUGCUUGGAGGAGUACUUGAGAGGGAGGCUGCCAGCACUUCGAUGCCAGAGUGUUUGCCUUAAGUGGUAACAAGCUCAGCCACUACUGAUUUUUGUGCUUUGUUUUUGAACUCAAGUAAUCUUGCAUUUUGUUCCCACCCAGGUUUCUACCUGAGGCUUUGUUUAUGUUGCUGAGUUCUGACUUCGUUCCAGAGUUUCUCUGAGCAUCUGGAUUAUCAGCUACUGAGUUAAGGAACUACCUUCUUGUGGAUUUCUCUCACUUCUGUCUGUACCUUUCGGACAUGGACCAAGCUGGCGGCUUCCCGUUUCCCUCGACUCCAGGACCCAGGCAUCAGCGCACCCUGCUUCUUCCUCCAUCUUUAACAUUGGCACCUGAGCUCCUUUUGGCUGGCACCAAGCUCACCACAGAGAAGACAACUGAACAAUCCUCCAUUGCAAGUUAAGACUCUGAAUCUCUCUACCCCUGGUGGUUCUUGCUUCAACAAUUUAUUGGUGUUCCCAGUUCCCGUCCCAGACUACUUUGUUGACAAUAAAAACCGUAAAACUUU